UCAAUAGCGUCCUUUAUCAUAUUAUUUCUUGCUAAAAAAAGGCAUUUGAUUUCAAUUGAAUGAUUACUUUUUUCAAAAAUGCCAUCUAGAGAAGGACCUAGACCUUUUUUUUUAUUAAUAAAAAGGCCACUGUUUGUGAUCUUCGAGCACAAUUCAUUCUCUAAUAAACGCUUUGCUCGAUCUUCAUUAUUUUUCCCCAAUCUAUAGCUUUUGCAGAAAAAUUUUUAUAUAAAAUGCAUUCCACUAUUGAGCAAUAACUUGACAUAGGAGGCAUUUUACAUAUUUUUCCAAAUAUUGAAGCAGUCAACAAUUUCCUCCUCUGCUGAUGCCAAUCAGCGGAAUCAGUUUGAAGCCGUGUUUUCAGCACAAUUUCUUUAUGAGCUUCUUCUGUUUUGAUUAAACCCCUCAAGAAUUCAGUCCUAUAUAAUUGGAAUAUUUCCUCAUCCAUGUCUGGGUUUUCACAAUUUUCUCAAUAAUUAUUAUCUGGCCCUGCAGAGAACUGUGGCUUCCAGUCCCUUCUUCUUUUUCUUUUUGAAGACACUACUUCGUUCCAUUCUCUACAACGUUUGUCCUGGACUACGACCUAUCAUAUCUAUGUGUAUAGCGUAUAGCGGUUUUUUUUAUUCUUUGCAACAACUACUGCCUAACAAGGACUUUGGUAUCAUCUUCUCAAAUCGUAAUUAAUUAUUUUACCUCUUAUUCUUUGAUCAUAGCAUUGAAUUGUUCCACAAUGUUCGUUGUUACAUUUUCUAUGAGACUUCUGGCAUGUAGUGCUAAAUAUCUCACCGCCUGCAUAAUUUCCUCCUCUAUAUCGAACUGUCACAAAUCUUGCAUAUAGUUGUCUUAAUCAGCUACUUUUUUCUCACAAAAGUAGCCUAAUGUGGCACAAUUCUUAUGUUCACCAAAUAUAUGACUGACGCUAUCAAUAAUAUCCAUCUUCAAAAAAUUGAUUUUAUCUUCAUGCGUUUUUUCCUUUUUUGAAUUGUACAGAUUUUAAUAUAGCCGUUCUGCAUCGUGAAAUAUUUUUGCUGAUCACAUUCUUCAACGGCCCUAGAACACUACAUGCUUUCGAGAGUUCUCGUAGUUUGUUACAGUAGUUCCUCAGUAAAUGAUUGGUACAUUCUAUUUUCUGAACUGUACAAUGUUCAUAAGGUCUACUAUCAAGAAUUUUUUGUAACAACUAUUGUCCUCAUCGGCAAUCAUUUUGUUGUACAUAGGUGAACUGUGUAAUAAUCGGGAAUUUGAGAUUCUCGAUUAUUGGGUCUGGACGUCGCCAACUUGCGGUAGGUAGACCAGACCCUUGUAAGGUCAGGCACUUGACAUUUGACUUGGUGGAGACUAAUAAAGUGUGAAAUUUAUUGGUUCCCUAUUUGUCCUAUUUGUCAAAUCUGGAUGAUGGAAAUCUUUUUGUACAAGUCGAUACUUAGGUGCAGUCUCGACCUCAGCCGAUAAGAAUGUACGUUUUAGGGUGUCAAAAAUUAGUUUAUCGAAGUUUGUUGAGUGGUCUCCUUAUGGGAACAUGCAAUCCGUGGGAAGAGAAAAACUUGGCAACAACGGAAAAAAUCUAAGACGUUAUUUUUGAAGGUACGCCCAUCGGGGGGCGGGAAAAUAAGUAACCUUAGGCCAAAGCAGAGAAAAAUUAAGCAGUUAGUGACGAGUAAGUUUCGGGAAACGGUUAGUUUCGGGGAGUUCAGGGAACUCAAGAAUCAGUUCGGGAAUUAGGAAGUUUAGAGUUGAAGGUAGAGCGUGGAAACCUUCUUUAGUGGAAGUUAGUGACGAGUAAGUUUCGGGAAACGGUUAGUUUCGGGGAGUUCAGGGAACUCAAGAAUCAGUUCGGGAAUUAGGAAGUUUAGAGUUGAAGGUAGAAGUUAGUCGAUAUAAAUGUUUUGAAAGAUUAGGUUUGAAACGUAGUUUGAAAAAUUCAAUAAUAAUAUUUUUCCUUUUUGGUUUUGUCACGGGUCGACAAUAGAUUCAGUAGAGUUAAAGAUUAGUCAUAACGGUAUCGGUUCGCCAAAGUUUCCGUGAGGUUCGAGAUACGUUUCGCGAGAGUGGACUGGAUGUGAAGGAUUAUCCAUCGAAGGAAUUGACAGGUAGCAAGUGAGAAAUUCAAAAGUUUAAUUUUUUUUUUGUUUGGUUGUUCUGUCCAAUGUUCUGAAAUCUCCAGUUAGUUUAUGUAAAAGUUUAAGGCAAGUCUUCCGAAGAUCAGUUCUGGCUCAAGCUUGAUUUUGUUUAAUUUUUUUUGUGUUAUUAAAAUUAUAAAAGAGCUUAUGCCUUUUAGUUAUCUCUAGAUCUGUUCCCAAAGAAAAAAUCCAGUUUAACACUAAGUCCUGUCCCUAGUGCGACAGGCCUUACCCACACUUUCUCCCUUAAUAAAGGAGAAAUUUUGAUUAACAUCUUUAUAACACUACCACCACCUUGAUCAGAGGAAAGCCGCUCUUCCAAUGAUCACAAGAGGCGGUGGACUAGUACAAAUGGUGACAGCCGGUGCGAUGUGUUAAUUUUUUUUUUCUUUUUGGAACAAUAUAGUCGAUUUUUUCCUCCGAAAGAAUUUCGGAUUUUUGAAGAGGUAGAUAUUUUGAAUAAAUCUUGGAAGAAGAAAAUUUUUAAGUUGUUGGACAUAUAGCCGAUUCAAUUUAUGUGGAAUUAUUCUGACAAUUUUAGUCGUGAUAAAUAAUAGUUGAAUACUAGAGAUAGAGAUAUUGGAAUAAACUGAGAGAUUUCUGGACGAAGGUAUUGAUGAUAUUGAGUGAUUGAAGAAUUAAUCAUAUGUUGUAACAGUUUCAGCUAGAUAAUUUUAUUCAGGGAAAUACUUUAGGAGAAAGCCGUUAAGGAGUACGAGAUCGGUGUAACUAAAUUUGUUGAGUUGUAUGAAUUUUUUUUUGGUAAUAUUUGGGUGAACAUUUUAUUCCUCAGGACUUCAGUGGACAUUUUGUACCUAAAUAAAUCGUUUAUUUGUUUAGACAGUAAUUUAAGAAAAACGCUGACAAUGUUGCCGACGGCUAGCACCACCUCUACGGCGAAUACAAGUUGUUUAUCGCAAAUUCCAUUCAGAUACCCUUUGGGAAUUAUGACAACAACUUUAGACGAUUUUUCAGGCAAGGACGUAACCAGAUAUUUCGAAAAAUUUGAACUUAGGUCGCAAUUAGACGGGUGGAGUGAACAUGAGACGUUGACAUUGCUUAAAUUCAAACUAGUAGGGGACGCGUAUAAUUUUUUUAAAUCUGAUAUUGCCCUAAAUUCUUUAUCAUAUGCGGAAUUAAAAGCAAGAUUCCUUCAAAAAUUCAGUUCUGUUAGGUUACCUUGGAAAAAUCAGUGGAAUUUGAAUAAUUGUUUUCAGAGACAGGAUGAAGACGUUUCAUCUUUUUGCACUAGAUUGAGAAUUAUAGGGGCGGAACUAUUAAGUGAGGAUUUGUCCGGGGCAACGAAAGAUGAGGAAUCGGGUAUUAGGAAGAAAAAUAGGGAUUUGAUUCUAAAUCAAUUCAAAAUUGGACUACGUAAAGAAGUUAUGAGGGAAGUCGGUAUUUUUUUAUUGCGCGAGGAAAAUUUGGAUUUAGAAAAAGCAGAGGAACUAGUAAGAUUGCAAGAAACGACUCAUGAAAUGUUGCAAGGGAGAUUAUCUACUAGAAAUAUAUCGGAAAUUAAAUUCGGAGUAAUAUGUCAAUUUUGCAGAGAAGUAGGUCAUUCGGCAAAAGAGUGUAGAAGUACUUGGGCAAAUUGGAGGAACAUUCAACAAAACGUCAAAAAAGGCUGUUAUUCUUGUGGCCAACAGGGUCAUUUCGCGAGGGAAUGCCGGACUUACAGGAGAUCAGUAAGAAUAAAUAGUGAAGGAUGUUAUUCCUGCAAUCAGAUAGGACACUGGUCGAGAGAGUGCCCAACGAAAAAUUGGAGAGAAACCCAAUCUCGUAAUAAUUCUCAUUAUCGACCAUGUUCAGUUAGUAAUGAGUUCAAAAUCGGAAAUAUCAGAAAAGUUUACCUCAGUGAAAAUAAGUCUGAAGGAUUAGCGGAAAAGAAAAUGACGGAUAUUCAGGAGGAUGAAUCGCGAAUUGAGAAAAAGAACAUACAAUCGGUCGAAAAACAGAUGAAAAGUCACAUAAAUAAUAAUAUUUUUCCAAAAGUAAAUAAAGUUAGGGAACUUGAAGUCGAGACGCAGUACAAAGACAUUAACAAUUCAAAUAUGAUAGAAGAAAGGGUUAGCGGUAUUAAACGAGAGAAUAUAAGGGAUAACGAGGAACACGGAUUGACGGUUAGGAAAAUGAUGAAAUGUGAGAAUUUGAGGGACUUAGACGGUAGGAGAGAUGAUUCGGUCAUAACGGCAAAGGAAAUCAGAAAAACUGAUAUCACUUUGGCAUCAGGGGUAGUUAUUCCGGUUCGUUCGAAAGAGUUAAUACCGGCCAAAUUGAAGAACAAUACGGAAAGAAAGAAUUUAGUUGGUGAAACAAUGAAAUUAGAGACAAGACCAAUUCACGAGAUAGCUAAUCAAAAUAUCCAGGCAGAAAAAUCGGCAAGGGUGACUAGAGUUAAUACGAAAUCAGUAGACCCCCAGUUCAAGUUGGCGGAUUUGGUGUACUUAAAAGAAAUGAGCGCAAAAAGGGGAUUAUCAAGAAAACUAUUGAAAAACUGGGCUGGACCGUAUAGAGUAACCGAAAUAAUUGGUCCUGUGACGUGCAGGGUAAGAAAAUGCGGGGGCAGAGAUGAACAAAUUGUACAUGUAAAUCGAUUGAAACCGUACACUGCACUAGGUGAUGAAAUGGGAGAAAUAUUAGAAAAACGCGUGAGAUCGGGAUAUACGGUCCUGGAUACUGAUUCAGACGAAGAGCAGGAGGAGUUAGGAAAAUUCCCCCCGUUUUUGAUCCCCACUUGGGAAAAUCAGGAUGAAGAUCAGGGGGAAAGCGAAGAAGAAUCGGUAGAAGAAGUUGAAAUUCCUGUUCGACGGUCGAAUAGAUUAAGGCGCCCACCUGAUCGAUGGGGCUACUACUAGUCGCGAAAGACAGCCUCAGAUAAAGCGGGAAUGGUAAUUUCAUAUGGAUUUUUUUUUUAUUGUGGUUUUCUUUUUUUUUUUUUUUUUUAAUGUAGGAUUUAUUAAGUAAGAUAGAUAGUAGAAGAUAGGGUAAUAUAGCGUAACGUCGCGAUGGGUAACGUGAGGAAAAUCUUAGAGAUAUGACCUUCAGGAGAUGUGAAUCGGCUCCUGCCCUUUUCGUAGAUUCCAGGGACUCGCUAACUCGGAGAGCGAGAAUCUGUUUGAUAUUUUAGAUAAUUCAAGUAGUAUUCAUCGGUUUGUUUGGUUUAACAUUUUAUUGGAAAAAACAUUGUGGUCGCUGAAGGACAUCCCUCGCCUGCAGUUCAUAGGUGAGCACAAUGUUUUGUUGAAUAGUGGCAAUGGGUGGAAUGUUCUAUUGUAUGUAUAAUAUUUUGUGUGUGUUUUGUUCUAAUUUAGAUAUUAUGUAUUUUAAUGAACCUCUUAGAAAUGUUUUUUGGUCUAAUAUAUAGCUCCUAAGUUGUUCAACUUGCUUCCUGGAGAAUAUAAAUCUUCCGUACACCACCCUAAUUUCAAGAGAAAAGUGGGGAAAUGGCUUCAAUGUUCAGACAGAAAUAUUAUUAACAACAAUUAAAUUGUGCUCAAAAAUUUGAGGAGAUAUAUUGAUUAUAGGAUAUUGUGAUACUGUUAUGAGUCUGAAUUUUGUAAAAUUGUUUUUCGUUCUUUUCUUAUUGUUAUUUUUGAUCAGCAUUGUUGUGACCUCGUUGAUAUGUAGAAGUGAAAGAACAUCACUUACAAGUAGCAACGCUACUUCUGUGAUUUAUGUUUAUUUUCAUAUUAUUUUCAUGUAAUUUAUAUAGGUAGUACGAGGAAGGAGAAACCAACCGUCGUGAAGAAGGACCAAAUUGUAGUUAAGGGAAUAACCUUCCUCCCAAUCGUGUGUGUCUACCGCGAAUAGUAUAUGUGCGGAUAAGAACACUUAAUUAAUGUGAUGUCCCGACACUAUACUACAGUUCGCGCCUGAGAAGCGUAGACAGUUUCGUUGAGCAACCAGGCGAAAGGGUUAAGUUGGGGGUUAUGGAUGAAGUUACUCAGUUGUUCAUUUGCGAGAUAUAAGUAUGGAGAAAUGAAGAGACGAAAGUCAGCGAGAAACUGAGGAUGCAGAAGAAGUUUACACAAACCGUAACUUCGCACAAAUCCGAUCAUGUUAUACACUGCGGAUACUGAGGAAGAUAUCAACGAUUUUGAAUAAGAACAACACUUCAUCGUACUUUAACUAUAACCUAAUGUAUGGAGGAGCAGACUACCAGUCUUGCGAAAAAACGCUCAAAAAGUGAAUCGCGAAUUACAAACGAUAUGCGUAAAAUAGUCCAACUAUAGACUUAUCUCACGAUCGUUGUGUAACGUUGAGGACAAGUGACACUAUGCCCCCUUUCCCUAUCCUUGGAGGUUAUUCCUGAAGCGAAGUCUGGGUCCAGGAGAAAACGAAAUAUCGUCCUGAAUGAAAACACUAGAUGCCGUCAUGACGAGACCAGGAUGUGCCGCGAAAGUGUACUAGAAUUGCGAAAGUGAACUCAUAGAACUCCAUGUUGGAGCGGUGAAGUGGUUAAGAAGAGAUAUUUAAAAGAAUGUUUGACGAAUUUUGUUUUUCUUUUUGGACUGAAGAUUUUUUUUUAUUUAUUUUUUUUUGUUGGUUGAAAAUUUUUGGAAUUGAUCAUGUAUUAAGAGAAAAGAACAUACCACCUUAGUAAUAAUAGUUUUUUUGAGGGAUUGAGUUUAAAUGAGUCAAUUUAAAUUUUUUUUUUGGUUUGAUAUGUUUUGAUAUGAAUGCUUGAUUGGUUAUUGCAUUAUUGUAUAUACUUUGGUUAUAUGUGUUUGGGAGAUGAUGAACUAUUGGACAGAAGACAAGGAGGACAAGGGAAAAGUUAUGGCAACCGAUGUCAUAACUUUUUCGAAGAGGGAUGUAUCUGUAAUAAUCGGGAAUUUGAGAUUCUCGAUUAUUGGGUCUGGACGUCGCCAACUUGCGGUAGGUAGACCAGACCCUUGUAAGGUCAGGCACUUGACAUUUGACUUGGUGGAGAUAAUAAAGUGUGAAAUUUAUUGGUUCCCUAUUUGUCCUAUUUGUCAAAUCUGGAUGAUGGAAAUCUUUUUGUACAAGUCGAUACUUAGGUGCAGUCUCGACCUCAGCCGAUAAGAAUGUACGUUUUAGGGUGUCAAAAAUUAGUUUAUCGAAGUUUGUUGAGUGGUCUCCUUAUGGGAACAUGCAAUCCGUGGGAAGAGAAAAACUUGGCAACAACGGAAAAAAUCUAAGACGUUAUUUUUGAAGGUACGCCCAUCGGGGGGCGGGAAAAUAAGUAACCUUAGGCCAAAGCAGAGAAAAAUUAAGCAGUUAGUGACGAGUAAGUUUCGGGAAACGGUUAGUUUCGGGGAGUUCAGGGAACUCAAGAAUCAGUUCGGGAAUUAGGAAGUUUAGAGUUGAAGGUAGAAGUUAGUCGAUAUAAAUGUUUUGAAAGAUUAGGUUUGAAACGUAGUUUGAAAAAUUCAAUAAUAAUAUUUUUCCUUUUUGGUUUUGUCACGGGUCGACAAUAGAUUCAGUAGAGUUAAAGAUUAGUCAUAACGGUAUCGGUUCGCCAAAGUUUCCGUGAGGUUCGAGAUACGUUUCGCGAGAGUGGACUGGAUGUGAAGGAUUAUCCAUCGAAGGAAUUGACAGGUAGCAAGUGAGAAAUUCAAAAGUUUAAUUUUUUUUUUGUUUGGUUGUUCUGUCCAAUGGUCUGAAAUCUCCAGUUAGUUUAUGUAAAAGUUUAAGGCAAGUCUUCCGAAGAUCAGUUCUGGCUCAAGCUUGAUUUUGUUU